UACGGAGGAUCCAAGCGUUAUCCGGAUUUAUUGGGUUUAAAGGGUGCGUAGGCGGUUACUUAAGUCAGUGGUGAAAGUUUGCAGCUCAACUGUAAAAUUGCCAUUGAAACUGGGUGACUUGAGUAUGGUAGAGGUAUGCGGAAUGCGUUGUGUAGCGGUGAAAUGCUUAGAUAUAACGCAGAACCCCAAUUGCGAAGGCAGCAUGCUGGACCAUUACUGACGCUGAGGCACGAAAGCGUGGGGAUCAAAC
rnacentral:rRNA from 1 species